UUGUCUGUCUUUCAUUAUGUCUAUCUAAAAAAUAAUUGUUUUUGUUUGUAAUGUUGUUACAGUGCCUUGAGCUUACAUUUUGUUUGUUAACAGCGCUUUAUAAAUAAAAUUAUUAUUAUUAUUGUUAUUAUUAUGUAAUGCCUAGGAUUCUUCAGUUGUAAUACCUAGGAUUCUUCUGUAGCAUCUCAAUUCCAUUGCUAGGAUCCUCCUCUCUAGCUCUGCAGUCAGCGUCCAAGACUCACAAGCAUAUAAAAAUGUGGCCAUGACCAGAGAGCGCAUCAGUCUGAUUUUGGUGCCUAGGGCUAUUCCAUAUUAUUUUAAGUUUUGAAAGGGCUGCUGUGGACUGUCAGUAGUUCAGGUUUUGUUCCCUUAUCUGAGACAAUAGCUCCUAGGUAUUUGAAGUGGGCCAAAAUGCUCUUUUGAAUUUAAUAAAGACAAGCUGCAGGUUUAAUUAUUGUUAACUGCAUUUGUCGACUGGUUGUCAGUAAAACCAAGACUUGGUAGAAUUUAAGAUUCUAUUUAUAUUGUUACAUGGUGCAGCUUUAGUGAAAUCCAGCUAGUCUGUAGAACUGGCAUGUCAAACAUUGUCCAUAUAUUUUUGUAAUUAUAUAUAUAUAUUUCUAUAUAUAUGGUAUAUUUCUCUUCUUAUAAGAUUUCUAGAGCUUGAUAUAUUCAGUAGUGUCCAAACUAGUUUAGCGUGAAUUCCCCUAUCCAUCCAUCCAUCCCAGUGGUGCUACAGCCCAUGGAGGGCUCUGGCCUGCUUUAACAUAUCCUUCCAUUCAGAUAUCCUGGGCCUUUCGUCUCCACGCCCUAGCCCCAAGCUGCUUCAGAUCUGCUUCCACAUCAUCUAUCCAUCGCAUUCGGUGUCUGCCUUUGGGUCGCCUGCCUUUUGGUUUUUGCCUGUAUACAAUUUUCACCCCUCUGUUGUCUGACAUUCUUUCAAGGUGACCUGCCCAACGUAGUCUGUUCUUUUUUAUUUCGUUCACUUUUGGUGGGUCUUCAUACAAUUGAUAUAUCUCAUGGUUAGUGCGUGUCCUCCACCCUGUUUCAUCCUGUAUGGCACCAUAGAUUUUCCUAAGAAUUUUUCUUUCCCAAGUGUUAAGUAAAAGCACAAACUAUUCAACAAAAUUUGGUUAACAGAAACACCUCCGGGUGAGUGGAAAAAGGGCUUGCUAAUAAAAAUACCAAAGAGUGGAGAUCUAUCACAAUGUGAGAAAUGGCGAGGCAUCACUUUGCUGUCAGUACCAAGCAAGAUUUUUAGCAGAAUCCUACUAAACAGAAUAAGGGAGCAUGUGAUGAACACCUAAGGGAAGAACAGGCCGGAUUCAGAAAAGGGAGAUCUUGUGCUGACCAAAUAGCUACACUCAGGAUAAUUGUAGAACAAUGUGUCGAAUGGCAAUCUCCUCUCUAUGCAACUUUUGUCGACUUUGAAAAAGCUUUUGAUAGUGUCGACAGAGAAUCUAUUUGGACUGUAAUGAGACAUUAUGGGAUCCCCAAUAAAAUAAUAACCAUAAUCAAGAACCUUUAUGAUGGUUUCACCUGCCAAGUAACCCACUGUGGCAAGCUGUCAGAGGAAUUUCCAGUCACAACAGGAGUCAAACAGGGAUGUCUUCUUUCACCACUCCUGUUCCUUCUAGUACUGGAUUGGGUCACAAAAGAAGCCUACUCUAACGCAGGGAAAGGAAUCCAAUGGACUCUCACACAAAAGCUGGAAGAUCUGGAAUUCGCUGAUGACAUAGCCCUAUUAUCACACAGACUACAGGAUAUGCAAGAAAAGGUCAUAGCUUUAAGCUAAGUAGGAAAAAGAGUAGGCCUCAAAAUAAACCACCAAAAAACUAAAGUACUUAAAGUAAACAAUAACAAAUUGGAGACAUAGUAUUGGAUUCUCAGACAAUAGACCAAGUAGAAAAUUUUAUAUACCUUGGGAGUGUAGUCAGUAUAUCAGGUGGAACAGAUGAAGACAUUAAUCUAGCAUGUCAGACAUUUACACAGCUAAAACCAACCUGGAAAUCUCCUUACAUCUCAAACAAGACUAAACUAAGAAUCUUUAACUCUAAUGUCAAGGCUGUCCUACUGUAUGGUUCUGAAACAUGGAGAACAACUGAAGCCACAACAAAAAAAUACAGACCUUCAUCAACAGAUGCCUGAGAAAUAUCCUAAAAAUACACUGGUAUGACAAAGUAGAAAACACCAAACUGUGGGAGAUGAGUGGACAGAAAAAUAUAGAAGUGCAGAUCUUAGAGAGGAAGUGGAGAUGGAUUGGUCACACCCUUAGAAAAGAUACCAGCAACAGAGCUAGGCAGGCCUUAGAGUGGAACCCCCAGGGAACAAGACGCAGAGGAAGACCAAAAAGAACAUGGCGACGCAGUGUACUUGAAGAAGCAGAGAAGACCGGGAAGAGCUGGGACACCAUAAAAAAGCUAGCAAGAGACCGUGGAGAGUGGCGUGUUUUGGUCGAGGCCCUAUGUUCCAUGAGGAACUCAAAGGAGUGAUGAUGAUGAAGUGUUAAGUAAAUUUUCAGAUGUCUUUGUCAGUGUCCAGGACUCACUUCCAUACAUUGCUGCUGGUCUUAUUAUAGUUUUGUAUAUUAUUUUCUUGGUUUUCCUUGAAAUCGUUUUGCUCUUAAGUAAAUGGUGGGUGCUAUAAAAUGCCCUGUUGCCUCCUGCUAUUCUUUCCUUUAUUUCUGUUAGUAGGUCAUUUUUGAAAUUAAUAGUACUUCCUAGAUAUUUGAAAGUUUGGACGUUUUCAAAUUCGUGGUGUUUGAUUUUGAUAUUUUGUCCCUCUGUUUGAUUGUCUCUUGUCAUUGUAAUGUACUUGGUUUUACUGUCAUUGACCUCAAGUCCUGCUGGUCGAGAUGCUUCUUCUAGUUGUAUGAAGGCUCUAGCCAUGUCAGAGGUUUCUUUACCCAAUAAGGCAAUGUCAUCGGCAUAAGCAAGGUAUUGUAGAAAUUGUUGGUUGUGGACCCGUGUUUUCUCUCCUGAAGUAGUUAGUAAUAGUUCCCCUUGUGUUUAUGUGUAUAUUUCUUAUAACUCUCUCCAGUGUUAAAUUGAAAAGCAUGCAGGAAAGUGCGUCUCCUUGUCUUAAUCCUUGUUUAAUCCUAAAUUCCCGUGAGUCUUCUCCUUGUAUUAUGACUGCUUUUUGAGUUGUUUAAUGUCAUAUGUAUAAGUCUUGUCAGCUUGUUGGGUAUUCCAAAAUCCUGUAGAGUGUCUUAUAGGUAUUUCCUUCUGAUACUGUCAUAAGUCAUUUUAUAGUCUAUAAAGAGUUGGUGGAUUGGUAUGUUGUAUUCAUGGCAUUUUUCUAGUAUACAUCUUAGUGUGAAGAUGUGGUCGGUUGUGGAUUUGUUGGGUCUGAAACCACAUUGGUAGUCACCUAAGAUUUCUUCUGAAUAUUUUCCAAGUCUCUUAGUUAUAAGCCUAGACAGUAUCUUAUAAGUCACAUUUAGUAGAGAGAUUCCUCUGUAAUUACAGCACUUUAACUUGGAAUCUGUUAGACACCUUAUUUAUAUAGGUUAGUUAUUUUAGUUAUUUAGCGACGCACCAUAGUAGACGCAUAUUGAACGGGACUAGUGACGUUUGGGAUAUGUUGGGUUAGAGACCGGAAAAUCAGUUAGCGUUAGAACACUCCAGGGUAACGACGUGUUUAGUGACAGAGACUUCUACUGUGGCCUUUUAUCAUAAUAAAUAUAUAUUAACUUGUUCAUCAUCGUUGACUACAUCUCUUCACCUGUUACAAUCGAUGUGCCAGUUCUUGUUUGUGUUGUUGGUCAACUACACGUAAUACACCCGGACAAUUACACCCAAACGAUUGCAGAGUAAUUGGUUGACUUCAAGACAGCCUGAACUAGCAACAUCACAGUGGCGACCCCGAACCUCGAAGCCGGACCCUGAUGAAGACGAACAUCGAACCGGACCUCGAAGCAGAACGUUUACUCAGGUGAGGGUCGUGCACUCGAAGUUAUAAGAUUUCAUCGGAGUACGGCUGAACACAGCAGCAUCACAGAGUGACUUUGUUCUAGAUCUACAUACAGUCAUCGCCUGUUUGAUCGCACGUUCGACGAGCCGUUAACUCAGGGUGACCUUCGUCAGGACAGUAAUCAUCGUAACGUCUGGUCUACUUAACCAGUAUAUUAUCAAAGCCUGAUCUUCAUAUGCUGAAUCGACCUACAACCAGAGAAACCGUUCAUUCAUAACGGGUGAGAGAUCGCUAGUGAACCUGUUGGACAUAUUUUUUCUUCGUCAUAGGAGCCACAUCGAGUAUCAAGUUUUACCUCGUCAGUUUCGAGAAGGACAGUUUGCCCGCUGUCAGAAGUAUUGUGAGUACUACAAGUUUGGUAGCUAACUAAAUCGAAAUCGCUCUGUCGUCUUACCCUUGGAGAGAUUCUUGUGGAGCAGUUUGCUCAUUGAACCGGUUGCUUGCCACGUUUAUAACGGUCACUGUGUUUAACCUUUGGAAGGUUAGUGAAGUAAUCUUUAUCAUUACUGAACAUUGAUAUAUCUAGUAUUCGUCGGUCUAGACCAUACCUAGACUUGUUAGCAGUGAAGUUGUGGAAACAGCUACAUCCACUUAAUUUCGUUGAAAACCGUUAAUCGUCUAACGGAACGUCGUCGGAGGUGACCUUGGUUUCACCUAGUCUACAUUGGACAGUUUGGUCUAUUGAAGCAGAGUACAACAGCAAACUUCGUCGUACUACCAGAGUAGCAGCAGAAGCAGUGAACUAUUUUAGAAAGCCGUUAUUCGUCAGCCCAGAUCAAGUCAUCGUCAAGAAAGUCGUUAUUCGUCAGCCCAGAUCAAGUCAUCGUCAAGAAAUUCGUUAUUCGUCAGUCGUCCAGAUCAAGUUGCCGUCAAGAGACUGUUAUUUGUCAGUAGUCGUCUACACAAGUCAAGUCAUCGCCAGAAGAACCGUUAACCUAUUCGUCAGUAACUGUGUACACAAAGUCGUCGGAACUACACAUACGGUCAUCAACAGUCACCGAAGGAACCGAAACAUUUUGCUGUGGCAUAUCAGGACAUCUGUGGCAUUACGUGGGAUACUGGUAGCACCGGAGAACAGAGUCAGAACUGGAAGAGAGGCAGUGGAAUUUGUUGUGAUCUAGCAUAUUCGGGAGUCCGAACAAAGGGAUCUUUCUUAUCAAAAGCUAAGUGCCAUUUUUCUUAUUAGUAUAUGUUUAGAUUGCCCUUAGAAAUAGAUUUUGUCUAAAUUUGGUACGUUAGCCUGAGUAAAAUCAGGUGGUGCGCCUUAAAACCCGUCGGGGUAGAAGACGUAAUUUAGAUGAAAAGCUAUAUUAUACGUUUAGGAUUGUAAUUUGUUUUGUUUGUGUAAACGUCAUAUCCGUUGUUGCCUGGUUACUUCGUGACGUUAUCAUUGUGUGCCAUAUUGUCAUAUCCCAACCCAUAGCGAUAGUCUCAUUUUAAUUAUUUCAUUUGUUUAUAUUAUUUUAAAUUAUUUAUUUUUAUUAAUUUAAUUAGAUCUGUAUUUUUUUUUCACUUAAUGAUAGAAAGUGCGGGUAGGAUUCUUUCAUUGUGAAUCAGACUAAAAUAAUUUUAGUUUGAGCGGUUAAAAUCAAUUAUGAUUUUGCCAUGAGAAUAAUGCCGAAACUGGCUAUGUAGUCAAACACUAUCGUCUGGCUAAAUUUAGAUCUGCAAAUUGUUGUACAUCUCUUUGGUACAAUUUAAUUAUCUAGACUCUACUUUGAAAUAUUAUUAAGUUGAAGAUGAAUGAAGAUUACUGCCAGUGAAGAACAUUUGUGACGUGUGACGUGCCCAUAUGAUGCCACAUUUUCCUCCAUGAUGAACUGUGUACUAAUGAAGAUGAUUUUGGAAUGUUAUGAACUGUUAUGAACAUUGACGUGAAUAUGAGGAACUGUCAAGAUGAAGAUGUCAAGAUGAAGAUGUCAAGAUUUUAUGUUUGUGGUCUUCCCCUUAAAUUGAAAAUGCCCUUGUAAGACUUGACAGUAGUGGAAAAAUAUUGACAUAUUUUUUUUUCAAGGGGGGGAGGAAUCUGUUAGACACCUUAUUUAUAUAGGUUAGUUAUUUUAGUUAUUUAGCGACGCACCAUAGUAGACGCAUAUUGAACGGGACUAGUGACGUUUGGGAUAUGUUGGGUUAGAGACCGGAAAAUCAGUUAGCGUUAGAACACUCCAGGGUAACGACGUGUUUAGUGACAGAGACUUCUACUGUGGCCUUUUAUCAUAAUAAAUAUAUAUUAACUUGUU